CAGUCGCCACGGGAAUACGUAGGUGGCAAGCGUUGUCCGGAAUCAUUGGGCGUAAAGGGCUCGCAGGCGGUUUCUUAAGUCUGAUGUGAAAGCCCCCGGCUCAACCGGGGAGGGUCAUUGGAAACUGGGAAACUUGAGUGCAGAAGAGGAGAGUGGAAUUCCACGUGUAGCGGUGAAAUGCGUAGAGAUGUGGAGGAACACCAGUGGCGAAGGCGACUCUCUGGUCUGUAACUGACGCUGAGGAGCGAAAGCGUGGGGAGCGAACAGGAUUAGAUACCCCAGUAGUCCCUGUCUCUUAUAC
rnacentral:rRNA from 1 species